rnacentral:rRNA from 1 species
UACGUAGGGUGCGAGCGUUAAUCGGAAUUACUGGGCGUAAAGCGUGCGCAGGCGGUUCGUUGUGUCCGAUGUGAAAGCCCCGGGCUUAACCUGGGAAUGGCAUUGGAAACUGGCGGGCUUGAGUGCGGCAGAGGGGGGUGGAAUUCCGCGUGUAGCAGUGAAAUGCGUAGAGAUGCGGAGGAACACCGAUGGCGAAGGCAGCCCCCUGGGCUAGCACUGACGCUCAGGCACGAAAGCGUGGGGAGCAAACAGG